rnacentral:rRNA from 1 species
CUACGGGAGGCAGCAGUGGGGAAUAUUGCACAAUGGGGGAAACCCUGAUGCAGCAACGCCGCGUGACUGAUGACGGUCUUCGGAUUGUAAAACUCUGUCUUCAGGGACGAUAAUGACGGUACCUGAGGAGGAAGCCACGGCUAACUACGUGCCAGCAGCCGCGGUAAUGAGUA